rnacentral:snRNA from 1 species
UAAAGGAUGGUCCAAAGACGCCCCCACCAGCAAAAUCAACUCACCCGAGCUAGCCCUAUUGAGGAUCUUCAAAGGCUUCAACCCGCCAGAGUGCAAGGGCGAGCCUCCACCUGGGGCCAGGGUGUCUGUGAUCACCCGUGUCCGGGCGCCAGGUAAGCUU